GGAACACCCUGCGCGAGGUCUGAUGGGCCGCCGGCGCUGCCCUCCUACACGGCGCCGCACCUUCGGGCUCCCGCCUCACUGCCCGCGACAGGCCGGCUCCGCACCACCUUUUAAAGUAAUCAAGUCGAAAACACUCAGGUUGCCAUCCACAUCCUCUCUCCAGUUCUCCCUGGUCUAUAACAGGAAUGCCCCUUACUCUACAGCAGGCACACUGUGCCAUGGGUCAAGAUGCCUUGCUUCAUGGGAGCACCUUGUUUGUUGUUCCCACCACUGACUCUGACCACAAAACCCUCCACUCUUCAUGCAAAGAAAGCAUCAGCAGCUCUUCUGUGGCCACGUACUUCUAAAAAGUAUGAAGCCUGUAUUUAUCAUCCACUCCAAUGAGUUUCUCACAGCCAGUGGCAGGGAAGGAAAUAUUCAGCUUCAUCUUGAUACAGCCAACUGCCUAAGAAGCACCAUGAAAAGCAAGAUGCACUACUUUUUAACACUAGAAGACUUUUAAGGGUUCAAACUACAGGCAAGUAUCUGAUAGGAUGUUAAAACCAAUGUCUGAUGCAUCCUGUAUGGCUCAAAGAACUUUUAUUAAAAGUGGUUCAAUUCAA